rnacentral:rRNA from 1 species
GACGAACGCUGGCGGCGUGCCUAAUACAUGCAAGUAGAAUGCUGAAGAGAGGAGCUUGCUCUUCUUGGAAGAGUUGCGAACGGGUGAGUAACGCGUAGGUAACCUGCCUUGUAGCGGGGGAUAACUAUUGGAAACGAUAGCUAAUACCGCAUAACAAUGGGUGACCCAUGUCAUUCAUUUGAAAGGGGCAACUGCUCCACUACAAGAUGGACCUGCGUUGUAUUAGCUAGUAGGUGAGGUAACGGCUCACCUAGGCGACGAUACAUAGCCGACCUGAGAGGGUGAUCGGCCACACUGGGACUGAGACACGGCCCAGACUCCUACGGGAGGCAGCGGUAGGGAAUCUUCGGCAAUGGGGGCAACCCUGACCGAGCAACGCCGCGUGAGUGAAGAAGGUUUUCGGAUCGUAAAGCUCUGUUGUAAGUCAAGAACGAGUGUGAGAGUGGAAAGUUCACACUGUGACGGUAGCUUACCAGAAAGGGACGGCUAACUACGUGCCAGCAGCCGCGGUAAUACGUAGGUCCCGAGCGUUGUCCGGAUUUAUUGGGCGUAAAGCGAGCGCAGGCGGUUUGAUAAGUCUGAAGUUAAAGGCUGUGGCUCAACCAUAGUUUGCUUUGGAAACUGUCAAACUUGAGUGCAGAAGGGGAGAGUGGAAUUCCAUGUGUAGCGGUGAAAUGCGUAGAUAUAUGGAGGAACACCGGUGGCGAAAGCGGCUCUCUGGUCUGUAACUGACGCUGAGGCUCGAAAGCGUGGGGAGCGAACAGG